UACGUAGGGGGCAAGCGUUGUCCGGAAUCAUUGGGCGUAAAGCGCGUGUAGGCGGCUCGAUAAGUCUGCUGUGAAAGUCCAAGGCUCAACCUUGGGAUGCCGGUGGAUACUGUCGAGCUCGAGUCCGGAAGAGGAGUGUGGAAUUCCCGGUGUAGAGGUGAAAUUCGUAGAUAUCGGGAGGAACACCGGUGGCGAAGGCGGCGACCUGGGUAGAUACUGACGCUGAGGCGCGAAAGCGUGGGGAGCAAACAGG
rnacentral:rRNA from 1 species